rnacentral:rRNA from 1 species
AGCGAACGCUGGCGGCAGGCCUAACACAUGCGAGUCGAACGAACUCUUCGGAGUUAGUGGCGGACGGGUGAGUAACACGUGGGAACGUGCCUUUAGGUUCGGAAUAACUCAGGGAAACUUGUGCUAAUACCGAAUGUGCCCUUCGGGGGAAAGAUUUAUCGCCUUUAGAGCGGCCCGCGUCUGAUUAGCUAGUUGGUGAGGUAAAGGCUCACCAAGGCGACGAUCAGUAGCUGGUCUGAGAGGAUGAUCAGCCACAUUGGGACUGAGACACGGCCCAAACUCCGACGGGAGGCAGCAGUGGGGAAUCUUGCGCAAUGGGCGAAAGCCUGACGCAGCCAUGCCGCGUGAAUGAUGAAGGUCUUAGGAUUGUAAAAUUCUUUCACCGGGGACGAUAAUGACGGUACCCGGAGAAGAAGCCCCGGCUAACUUCGUG